ensembl:lncRNA
AGCUGCCUCACUUCCGGGUCGUUGUGAAUAGCUUCCGGGCCCCUCUCUGUCCCUCGCGGCCGCCCCACCUCCACCGUCGGUUCUGUACCUCUUGCCGCGUCUUUGCCACAGGGGCCUACGUGGCCAUACGCUGUUGGUGCCUCGUCCUUCCCGUCCUCUGAUCCCUGGGGCUGCACCCUGGUACAUCUCGCUUCCCCAGCCCGCCUUGGCCCCGCUCUGUUGACCUUUGCGCCUUCUGUCCACCGAUGUUGUCGCGUGCUGGACCAGGAGGAGCGCCUGUGCCCCGGCGCCCCUGCCCGCCCAUGGUGGUGCGCUCCUCUGAGUGUGCACGGGUCACCUGCUGGCUACCGUGCCUAUACCGCCGCCCGCCUGGGCUGGGGGCUGGAAGUGAGGGUGCCAUGGCCGUCCCCGAUAUGACCAGCUGGUGUCCUUGGCCCCACUACCGGCCCACUGGGCCCUCGAGGAGCGUCUCCCCAUCAGAACUUUGGGGCAGCAUGCUGCGUCCCUCGUGGACAGAGUGUGGAGGAUCCCUUGGCCUCACCAAGGGAGGAGCCAGUCGGCCGGCCUGGAGUUCUUCCUGAUUUCUGUUUAAGAAUCCUGAUGUGGCAGCUCUUACCAGUGUAGGGCCAGGGACUUAGAGGCAGCGAGGUUCGGGAAAAGAAGGACACCAGCACUUUACUGAACAGAUUCACCUUUACUGAGGCAAGAAGGGGCAGCAGUCAGAUUAGUGAGCUGCUGCACUAACCCAAGGAAAGACCUCUCCACAUGACGGCUGCCCUCAGACACCAGACGAGUACAUGGAGGAUAAUGAAGAUUCAGAGACAGUGAGCAAGAAUACUGAGAUGUCAGACAAUUCUCUAAUCAGCUCUUUGGAGAAUGGCAAAAAUGUCAUCAGUGAUGAUGCAAAAGACCAGGAGGAGCAAGUGUGAACGUGGGGCCUGAGAUGAAAAGGCUCUGAUCUGAAUCCCUGAAUCCCUGAAGACCUGGACCUGGACCCCAGAGGCGGUGGAGCCCACACAGCACCAGGAGCCUCAUCUGGACCAGAUCAGGGGAGGCCUCACUGCUGCUCUCCUGAGGGCCUCGUGUAGUACGGCUUCAGUUGUUUUGUCGUGUAGAUUUAGCGUUAGUUUAAUCCACAGUUUUAUCUACAAGUUCUGUAUGUAUCUGUAUGUUCAAUGUUUAUAGGUAAGGUUUUUCAUUAAAUUUUUAAAA